rnacentral:tRNA from 1 species
GCCCUUGUGGUGUAGUCCGGUCAAUCAUACUGCCCUCUCGAGGCGGUGACUCGAGUUCGAAUCUCGGCGAGGGCGCCA